rnacentral:rRNA from 1 species
CCUUCGGGUGGCAGCAGUGAGGAAUAUUGGUCAAUGGACGCAAGUCUGAACCAGCCAUGCCGCGUGCAGGAAGACGGCUCUAUGAGUUGUAAACUGCUUUUGUACGAGGGUAAACGCAGAUACGCGUAUCUGUCUGAAAGUAUCGUACGAUUCCGGAUCGGCUAACUCCGUGCCAGCAGCCGCGGUAAUACGGAGGAUUCAAGCGUUAUCCGGAUUUAUUGGGUUUAAAGGGUGCGUAGGCGGUCUGAUAAGUCAGAGGUGAAAUCCCGGGGCUCAACUUCGGGAGUGCAUUUGAUACUGCUAGGCUAGAGAGUCGUAGCGGUAGGCGGAAUGUAUGGUGUAGCGGUGAAAUGCGUAGAGAUUA